GACGAACGCUGGCGGCGUGCCUAACACAUGCAAGUGGAGCGAAGAACCGGGGCUUGCGCCGGGGCCGAGCGGCGAACGGGUGAGUGACACAUGGGUGAACUGCCCCGAUGACUGGGAGAACCCGUCGAGAGACGGGCGAAUAACGGGUGUGCCACUUGGGGGAAAGGAAGGUUCGGUGUCCGCAUCGGGAUGGGCCGGCGGCGCAUUAGCUUGUUGGGCGGGUAAUGGCUUACCAAGGCGACGAUGCGUAGCAGGGCUGAGAGGACGAUCGGCCACACUGGGACUGAGCCACGGCCCAGACUCCUACGGGAGGCAGCAGUGGGGAAUCUUGCGCAAUGGGCGAAAGCGUGACGCAGCAACGCCGCGUGCGUGAAGACGGCCUUCGGGUCGUAAACCGCUCUCAGUGGGGACGAGCCUUUGUGCGUGAAUAGCGGUUUGGAGUGACGGUACCUUCUGAAGAAGCGCCGGCUAACUACGUG
rnacentral:rRNA from 1 species